ensembl:lncRNA
CAGCUCUCGCGGCCCGGUACCAAACGACCCGGGGGUUGGAGACCGCUGUCUUAAUCUAUCAGGAUGGCGAUGAGCUUGCAUCACGCAGUCCACCUAAAAUACAGGAUUGAUUUACUGAUGAUCUCAUAGGCAACCUGACACCCUUACUGGACUCACUUCCGCUUUAACUAAUGAUUCCCAAAUCCAAACUAGAAUUCCUUUCCCCCGUGUAAACCAUUUUAGAUAAAGACAAAGAACAGCAACACAUUUAACACAUGCAAGUGUUUUCAAAAAAGAUACUCACUCAACUGGUCGAAAAGAGGAGAUUACAGUACUUCACCUAACACGAUCAUACAAAAUCCUAAACGACGACUGCAGUCAUGCGACACUGAAUCUUUUAACCUUUCUAGGAGGAACACAAGCUUUUAACAGCAACGUCCAGCAGACUUCUCAGAUGAACAGCAUGGCCUGAAUAAUUUACAACAGACCUGUGAGUCUGAUCAUUACCAAACCAGACAUCACAAGGAAACAAGUGGAGCAGGGGCCACAGUUUUUAGACAGAAACAUCCUCACCUGUUGAGAGGCGGCUCCUUGUAACUCACGGCACCCUUCCCAGGUCUCCGUCUCCUGCUUCUCUCUCCAUUUUCACAGUCUGGUGUUGUCAAAGUGUUGGUUACUGUUGAUAAGACUCUGCCUGCAGCAACAAACAAUAAGAGUAAUGCAGCCCCGUUCAGAUAAACGUUUUGGGGACAUUUGCCACAAACAUUAAUGUCUUAAAGUGACAGAGUAUUGAACCUUUGAAUGUCUGCUAUGACCUCAGUGAUAAAGAAAGUAAAAUUAUCCCCCAUCUGUCACAAACGAAAACUAAAAAUGUACAAACUCAGUAACAUAAGAGCUGAUGACAGAGCUGUGCUUGCAUUAGACUGCACUGCUGUAACUAAAGACGUGUUCCACACCUGGAGAGGCUUCAGCCGUUCCAAUCGUCGCGAGCCUGCCUGGUGUUUCCCUGUUUGGAGUGGCGAGUAGAGAGUCCACAGUGAUGUGAGCUGUGCUGUUAUCCACGUCCAGCCACGGCGGCAGCUCAUCCAUCAGCAGGUCGCCCACAUUCUGAUGAACUGCCUGAUCGCUGGUGUCCACCGUGUGACUGCAGGUGUCUGAUGCGUUCGACAUCCUGGUGAUGUUUUCAGAACUACAUCCACUUCUGUUCUUAGUUUUUCGUCUGUAGACAACAAAAGUCUUCCUGGGAUAUCUGGUUUCCAUGGCUGUGUUCAGCAUGAAUACAUUUCUAGAUGAUGCGGGACUCGAAUCCCUCCUGGACUGCGAAUCAUUCAGAUGUUCAAAGAUUUCAUGCUUUUCACUGAUGGCAGAAUGUGAGUCGAGCAUUUGUAAAUCAUGUAAUUGACCUUUAGCGAUUUCAGAAUCAAGGCAGAGAGCGGAGGCGUCUCUAGGGUCAGGAGGAUAACACGUUUCACUCUCAGACCUUAAGUCUUUGUUGUCUUUUUUCUUCGUCUUGUCAUCUAACAAGUCAUCACCCUCUUCUCGCUGCACCACUUUGUUCCUGUAGGGCUGCCCUGUUUUGUCUCUCCUGGAUUUUUUACGUUUUUGAAACUGUGAUCCUAAAGCCGCCUGCCAAUCCAGCAGCAGUGCUUCACCACUGUCACCGCUGCUCGAGUCCUCUUGACAGUUCCCAGAGUCCUGAGUGGCCACCCAGGAUCGCUUCCCAGAGCGCCGAGUCUUUGAACGAUUGCUUGAUUCUACAUGUCCAACAAUGCUUUUAUUCAUGACUGCUUCUUCUGCCUGAAAGCUGGAUCCUGUAGGAGGCGCCACAUCAUGCUCUGGUGAGUCACUGUCGCUGGUUAUUGAGAUAACAAAUGUCUCCCUGCAUCUUGAUUUGUGACCUCCCCUAGAAUUAGUCACAGUAUUAGUUUUGCUAAAGGACAGACGCUCCGCAUGCUGGGACUCUGGAUGUGCACAAAGCAGAGCGUCCUCAGAGACUUGAGACUCUAAGCUUUCAUCUCCUGCUUUAGGUUUUUGGACCUUCUCCUGGUGGGAUUGGCUGCUCUCACUUUCAUCAGACGGCACAGUGAAUAAACUUUUCCUGGUUACUGAAGAGGCCCUCUUUCCUUUAGCUCUGGACUUCCUGCAUGUUAUUUUGGAACUUGCUUCGUCAGCCACACUUCUGCUGGUGCUUGAAAACCUAAUUUUAGGAUCAGAGAAGUAAUCUUCCACAUCCAUUUGGUCUACAUUUGUGAUGUUAGUGCGGUCAGAAGAUUUGACUUUAUCCUUUGAUUUGACCUUCUGAUGCUUGCCCAGUUUAGGGAUGCGAGUGACAGUACUUUGAUCCUUCAGCGGCUUUUUAUGUGAUUGUAACAAAGAUGCAGACUUCUGCACUUCUAUACUUGAGCCGCAGCUUUGCUCCUUGUCCUUUCUGCCAGAGCUGACUUUUUUUUUCGCUUUUGUUUCCACAGUGACUAUCUCAGUGGCUUCACUUAAGGUCAUCUCCAUGGUUGCAUUGAGCAAAACAGUUUUCUCUUGAUUUUUGCCAAGCUGUGUUUCACUUUCCAUGGAGGAGACACUGGGAAGAUUCUGAUCUCCAGAAAGGGAUUGUGUGGAUUUUUCACAACUCUGACUGUUCUGAACAGAGACGACAGAAUGAAUAUCAGCCUGGGACUGAGAGGACUUCUCCAACUCUUCGCUCGGAGUAUUGGCCAGCCCAGACGCUUCUAUGUGGGCAGUCUGUGCGCACUGGAUGGACAGCCUUUUUUCAGCUUCUGUGUUAUCUGCCCAAAAAGCAGACUACAUCAGCAUUUCACAGCAUCAACAUUUUACAGUUAACACUAAAACUUUCAACGCUUAAAUCACGCCUACCGUUGCAAACGUCAGUCGACUUUUCACAUGUAUUCGGGAGAGUGGAGACGUCCUCAUUGAUGUUUAUUUCAAGCGGGCCAGUUGUUGUGUUUUUGCUGGUACACCACAAAUUCCUUGAAACAUCUGUCUGCAGCGGUAACUGACUAAAAUGGGGCGAAAAGGCAAGAUAUUAAAAAUAUAUAUAUAUUUUUUUUUAACACACUAGUGAAUGCAGGUGCUACCCCUCAGCCUCCUAGUAGAUUCAAACUUGUCUGAGAUUUUUAGGAGAUGCAUCUGUGGAAUCAACAGCGAAAUCCUACAUUGCAUUCACAAGCUCCACGUCGUCCACCUGACGGGGCGAUGACAACACUCCAUCAGCUCUUUUGGAGCUGAGGGGUAAAAACUUUUUUUCACACUCGGAUAUUGCUUUCAAAAGUCUGGUUUAGUGACAGCAUUAUUAUUAUCAUCGUUUCUUACAGCUUCAACAUAUAUUGAGAUGUCUUGCAGGUAUAUUUUGGGAGUUUGGGGACCCUAUAUGUACCUAUAAGAAUGUCUUUCAAACUUAACAAAUAUUAACCUACAGUCUGUAAACAGAACGUGUGAUAAUC